rnacentral:rRNA from 1 species
AACUAACGCUGGCGGCGUGCCUAACACAUGCAAGUCGAACGAGAAAGUUGGCUUCGGCCGAUGAGUAAAGUGGCGCACGGGUGAGUAACGCGUGGAUAAUCUGCCCUUUAGUUUGGAAUAACGUACCGAAAGGUGCGCUAAUACCGGAUAAUACUGAAUGACUACUGUCGUUUAGUCAAAGAAGGCUUCUGUUUACAUGCUUUUGCUGAAGGAUGAGUCCGCGUACCAUUAGCUAGUUGGUAGGGUAAUGGCCUACCAAGGCGACGAUGGUUAGCUGGUCUGAGAGGAUGAUCAGCCACACUGGAACUGAGACACGGUCCAGACUCCUACGGGAGGCAGCAGUGAGGAAUAUUGCGCAAUGGGGGCAACCCUGACGCAGCAACGCCGCGUGAGUGAGGAAGGUUUUCGGACCGUAAAGCUCUGUCGAGCGGGAAGAAAUGCAUGGUGGCUAAUAUCCAUCAUGCUUGACGGUACCGCUAAAGGAAGCACCGGCUAACUCCGUG